rnacentral:rRNA from 1 species
GAUGAACGCUGGCGGCGUGCCUAAUACAUGCAAGUCGAGCGAACAGACGAGGAGCUUGCUCCUCUGACGUUAGCGGCGGACGGGUGAGUAACACGUGGAUAACCUACCUAUAAGACUGGGAUAAAUUCGGGAAACCGGAGCUAAUACCGGAUAAUAUAUUGAACCGCAUGGUUCAAUAGUGAAAGACGGUUUUGCUGUCACUUAUAGAUGGAUCCGCGCCGCAUUAGCUAGUUGGUAAGGUAACGGCUUACCAAGGCAACGAUGCGUAGUCGAACUGAGAGGGUGAUCGGCCACACUGGAACUGAGACAAGGUCCAGACUCCUACGCGAGGCAGCAGUAGGGAAUCUGCCGGAAUGGGCGAAAGCCUGACGGAGCAACGCCGCGUGAGUAAUGAAGGUCUUCGGAUCGUAAAACUCUGUUAUUAGGGAAGAACAAAUGUGUAAGUAACUAUGCACGUCUUGACGGUACCUAAUCAGAAAGCCACGGCUAACUACGUG